UUCGUAUAAAUGAGCUAAUCAGUCUUGCUUUGCCAAAAAAAGUCCUCCUUAUUCUUGAAUUUAUUAACUUUGGGGUGAGAAACAUUCAAUUCCAUGUCUCAAGUAUGAUUAGGGUUAAGAAAGGAUAGCAGCUAGAUAAUAGGCAACGAGGGAAAGCUGUUGAAGCUGAAAAUUGUGAUAACCCGGUUAAGUAGCAGGCCCAAUUUAUGUUUAGGCCCAAAUAUAAUUUAAGUCAACCCGACCCAAAUUGUAUAUAGGAGAAUGUUAAUUUGGAACAAGUUUGUACAGAACAUUCUGGAAAAAAAAAGGAAGAAAAAAGGGGAUUUUUCUCAGAACUUCUUCUCAAGGUUACUCUGACUCUGAUUGGGCCAGUUGUUCUGAUAGUAGAAAAUCAGUUUCUGGGUUUCUAUUAUUAAUUGGUGGUUGCCCUGUUUCCUGGAAAUCCAAGAAGCAGCCUACUAUAGCAUUAUCUUCUGCAGAGGCUGAAUAUAAAGCCCCCCGCUACCCGUUGGAGUAGCCAAUACCACACUUGGAGCAGACUUUCCAACCGGCCGAUGCUAUCUAUGGGUCAGAGGAAGAAGAAGCACUUGUAGCAAUGAGGAAUUUGUUCCUGAAAAAUAAUGACAUGGACUGUUAUGUUGUUCUUGAGGAGGAGGGGGAGGCAGGCCCUUCCAUAUAGGCCAUAAGCAGAGGGGAACGCUUCAAUAACUGGACCAUCAGGACAAUUAGAGCCCGACGAGCCUCGGGGUAGCAAGGCUAAACAAGCAUCAUGCACUGUUUUUAUUUACCAAUUAAUUUUCCUUCCGCAUUUUAGUUCCCGCAAUAAGAUCUCCAAUGUUCAAAACGAUUAUGCAAUUUAUCAAAACAUUUUUGACUUUGAUUAUGAA